UCUGGCGUGCAUGCGAAUUAGAUGGUCUGCACUUUCAGGCCUUCAUGAAGGUUGAUUCUAGAUUUUUAGAGAUUUGAUCUCCUAUUCUAUUGCUAUCCAAAUAAGAAUUUGAUCUUUAUUCAUGUAGAUUUGUAAAAAAUUUUUUGAUGCAACCUGGGCUAUCCGAAGAGAAAUAGUUUUCCUUCCCUUCAUGCUUCUCCC
rnacentral:lncRNA from 1 species